AUUGAACGCUGGCGGAAUGCUUUACACAUGCAAGUCGAGCGGCAGCACGGGGCAACCUGGUGGCGAGCGGCAAACGGGUGAGUAAUGUAUCGGAACGUGUCCUGAGAUGGGGGAUAGCCCGGUGAAAACCGGAUUAAUACCGCAUACGAUCGAGAGAUGAAAGUGGGGGACCGCAAGGCCUCACGUCUUAGGAGCGGCCGAUAUCAGAUUAGCUAGUUGGUGAGGUAAAGGCUCACCAAGGCUCCGAUCUGUAGCUGGUCUGAGAGGAUGAUCAGCCACACUGGGACUGAGACACGGCCCAGACUCCUACGGGAGGCAGCAGUGGGGAAUAUUGGACAAUGGGCGAAAGCCUGAUCCAGCCAUGCCGCGUGUGUGAAGAAGGUCUUCGGAUUGUAAAGCACUUUAAGUUGGGAGGAAGGGUAUUCACCUAAUACGUGGGUACUUUGACGUUACCAACAGAAUAAGCACCGGCUAACUCUGUGCCAGCAGCCGCCGUAAGAC
rnacentral:rRNA from 1 species